rnacentral:rRNA from 1 species
GACGAACGCUGGCGGCGUGCUUAACACAUGCAAGUCGAACGGAAAGGCCUGCUUUCCCUUGUGGAUUGCGGGUACUCGAGUGGCUAACGGGUGAGUAACUCGUGAGUGAUCUGCCCUCAACUUGGGUAUAAGCCUGGGAAACUGGGUCUAAUUCCCGAUAGGACUGCAGGGUGGUGCCUGUGGUGGAAAACGAUUUUCUAGUGGUUGGGGAUGAGCUCGCGGCCUAUUAGCUUGUUGGUGAGGUAAUGGCCUACCACGGCGGCGACGGGGUGCCGGCCGGGGAGGGUGGACGGCCACAUUGAGACUGGGUUACGGCCCAGACUCGUACGGGAGGCAGCGGUGAGUAAUAUUGCACAAUGGGCGGAAGCCUGAUGCGGCGACGGUGUGUAGAAGGUGUCGGCCUUCGGGUUGUAUACUCCUUGCGACCGCGGGGAGUCCGCCUGGUUCGAAGGGUGGUGACGGUAGUAGUAGAAGAAGCACCGGCUAACUACGUG